AUUGAACGCUGGCGGCAGGCCUAACACAUGCAAGUCGAACGGCAGCACGGGAGCAAUCCUGGUGGCGAGUGGCGAACGGGUGAGUAAUAUAUCGGAACGUGCCCGGUCGUGGGGGAUAACGUAGCGAAAGCUACGCUAAUACCGCAUACGAUCUACGGAUGAAAGCGGGGGAUCGCAAGACCUCGCGCGAUUGGAGCGGCCGAUAUCAGAUUAGGUAGUUGGUGAGGUAAAGGCUCACCAAGCCGACGAUCUGUAGCUGGUCUGAGAGGACGACCAGCCACACUGGGACUGAGACACGGCCCAGACUCCUACGGGAGGCAGCAGUGGGGAAUUUUGGACAAUGGGCGGCAAGCCUGAUCCAGCAAUGCCGCGUGCAGGAUGAAGGCCUCGG
rnacentral:rRNA from 1 species